rnacentral:rRNA from 1 species
AGGAUCAUUAUUGAAGUAACCNUGAUGAGUUGCUGCUGGUUCUCUAGGGAGCAUGUGCACACUUGUCAUC